UUUUCUUCCUCAUUUAUUCUGUUUUCAUAACAAAUCCUCAAAUAUAUCUCUUCAAUCCAAAUCUCCUCCCAUUUCUUUAUCGGUUCUCUCUCUCUGUCACUUUUCAAUUUCUUUCCUCUCAUUAUUUUAGCUUUGGGUAACAAAAGGCCAAAAAAAAAAGCACACACCCUGCACCGUUUUUUGUGGUUUUUGAAAUCCACUGCUUCAUCCGAGACAGAUUUCAGGUAUGAAUCUUUGCUUCAACAUUUGUCUUUUUGCUUUUUGCUUUUUUCAUCUCUAGUUUGGAGUGUUGUGUUUAGCUGUAUGGGUUUGGGGUGUUGUUGGUUCAGGU
rnacentral:lncRNA from 1 species